CAAAAUGUAGCUUAACAAAAGCAUCUCGCUUACACCGAGAAAAUACCCGUGAGACCCGAGUCAUUUUGA
rnacentral:tRNA from 1 species